rnacentral:rRNA from 5 species
AGACCCGAAACCCGGUGAUCUAGCCAUGGGCAGGUUGAAGGUUGGGUAACACUAACUGGAGGACCGAACCGACUAAUGUUGAAAAAUUAGCGGAUGACCUGUGGCUGGGGGUGAAAGGCCAAUCAAACCGGGAGAUAGCUGGUUCUCCCCGAAAGCUAUUUAGGUAGCGCCUCGUGAAUUCAUCUCCGGGGGUAGAGCACUGUUUCGGCUAGGGGGCCAUCCCGGCUUACCAACCCGAUGCAAACUGCGAAUACCGGAGAAUGUUAUCACGGGAGACACACGGCGGGUGCUAACGUCCGUCGUGAAGAGGGAAACAACCCAGACCGCCAGCUAAGGUCCCAAAGUCAUGGUUAAGUGGGAAACGAUGUGGGAAGGCCCAGACAGCCAGGAUGUUGGCUUAGAAGCAGCCAUCAUUUAAAGAAAGCGUAAUAGCUCACUGGUCGAGUCGGCCUGCGCGGAAGAUGUAACGGGGCUAAACCAUGCACCGAAGCUGCGGCAGCGACGCUGAUGCGUUGUUGGGUAGGGGAGCGUUCUGUAAGCCUGCGAAGGUGGCCUGUGAGGGUUGCUGGAGGUAUCAGAAGUGCGAAUGCUGACAUAAGUAACGAUAAAGCGGGUGAAAAGCCCGCUCGCCGGAAGACCAAGGGUUCCUGUCCAACGUUAAUCGGGGCAGGGUGAGUCGACCCCUAAGGCGAGGCCGAAAGGCGUAGUCGAUGGGAAACGGGUUAAUAUUCCCGUACUUGGUGUUACUGCGAAGGGGGGACGGAGAAGGCUAUGUUGGCCGGGCGACGGUUGUCCCGGUUUAAGCGUGUAGGUGUGUGUUCCAGGUAAAUCCGGUUCACUUUAACACUGAGGCGUGAUGACGAGGCACUACGGUGCUGAAGCAACAAAUGCCCUGCUUCCAGGAAAAGCCUCUAAGCAUCAGGUAACAUCAAAUCGUACCCCAAACCGACACAGGUGGUCAGGUAGAGAAUACCAAGGCGCUUGAGAGAACUCGGGUGAAGGAACUAGGCAAAAUGGUGCCGUAACUUCGGGAGAAGGCACGCUGACACGUAGGUGAAGUGAUUUACUCAUGGAGCUGAAGUCAGUCGAAGAUACCAGCUGGCUGCAACUGUUUAUUAAAAACACAGCACUGUGCAAACACGAAAGUGGACGUAUACGGUGUGACGCCUGCCCGGUGCCGGAAGGUUAAUUGAUGGGGUCAGCGCAAGCGAAGCUCCUGAUCGAAGCCCCGGUAAACGGCGGCCGUAACUAUAACGGUCCUAAGGUAGCGAAAUUCCUUGUCGGGUAAGUUCCGACCUGCACGAAUGGCGUAAUGAUGGCCAGGCUGUCUCCACCCGAGACUCAGUGAAAUUGAACUCGCUGUGAAGAUGCAGUGUACCCGCGGCAAGACGGAAAGACCCCGUGAACCUUUACUAUAGCUUGACACUGAACAUUGAGCCUUGAUGUGUAGGAUAGGUGGGAGGCUUUGAAGUGUGGACGCCAGUCUGCAUGGAGCCGACCUUGAAAUACCACCCUUUAAUGUUU